rnacentral:rRNA from 1 species
UUGGUGGACACUAAGAAGCAUCUUGUUUUCCCUUUCGUGUAUCAAUUUCUAAUGCUAAUUUUGCUGGUUGCCACGGCGUCAGUGGAGAGAUGCUUUUCAGCAAUGAAUACCGUGAAGAGUGUUUUACGCAACAAAAUGGGUGCUCAGUUCAUGAGUGAUUGCUUGAUUUUCUAUGUGGAGAAAUAUAUAUUUACUACCAUUACGAAUGACGCCGUAAUUGGUCUAUUUAAGAAGAUGAGAGAUUGA